UCGUGUCGUGAGAUGUUGGGUUAAGUCCCGCAACGAGCGCAACCCUCACCUCUUGUUGCCACCAGGUCAUGCUGGGCACUCUAGAGGAACUGCCCCGGUCAACGGGGAGGAAGGCGGGGAUGACGUCAAGUCAUCAUGCCCCUUACGUCCUGGGCUACACACGUGCUACAAUGGCCGGUACAAAGGGAUGCCACACCGCGAGGUAGAGCUAAACCCAAAAAGCCGGUCUAAGUUCAGGUUGGAGUCUGCAACACGACUCCAUGAAGGAGGAAUCGCUAGUAAUCGC
rnacentral:rRNA from 1 species